rnacentral:rRNA from 1 species
GAGUUUGAUCUUGGCUCAGGAUGAACGCUGGCGGCGUGCUUAACACAUGCAAGUCGAACGAAGCGCCUUAUUUGAUUUUCUUCGGAACUGAAGAUUGGUGACUGAGUGGCGGACGGGUGAGUAACGCGUGGGUAACCUGCCCUGUACAGGGGGAUAACAAUCAGAAAUGACUGCUAAUACCGCAUAGACCACAGCACCGCAUAGGUGCAGGGGUAAAAACUCCGGUGGUACAGGAUGGACCCGCGUCUGAUUAGCUGGUUGGUGAGGUAACGGCUCACCAAGGCGACGAUCAGUAGCCGGCUUGAGAGA